rnacentral:rRNA from 1 species
UACAGAGGGGGCGAGCGUUGUUCGGAAUUACUGGGCGUAAAGGGCGCGUAGGUGGCCUGUUAAGUCGAACGUGAAAUCCCCGGGCUCAACCCGGGAACUGCGUCCGAGACUGGCAGGCUUGAAUCCGGGAGAGGGAUGUGGAAUUCCAGGUGUAGCGGUGAAAUGCGUAGAUAUCGGGAGGAACACCUGCGGCGAAGGCGGGUUGCUGGGCUGACACUGACGCUGAAGCGCGAAAGCCAGGGGAGCGAACGGG